AGUGGAAUUGCUGGGUUAUAUGGUGACUCUAUGCUUAACUUGAGGAGGACCUGCCAAACUAUUUUUCAAAGUGGCUGCAUCAUUUUACAUUCCCUCCAGCAAU
rnacentral:pre_miRNA from 1 species